GAUGAACGCUGGCGGCGUGCCUAAUACAUGCAAGUCGAGCGAACAGACGAGGAGCUUGCUCCUCUGACGUUAGCGGCGGACGGGUGAGUAACACGUGGAUAACCUACCUAUAAGACUGGGAUAACUUCGGGAAACCGGAGCUAAUACCGGAUAAUAUAUUGAACAGCAUGGUUCAAUAGUGAAAGACGGUUUUGCUGUCACUUAUAGAUGGAUCCGCGCCGCAUUAGCUAGUUGGUAAGGUAACGGCUUACCAAGGCAACGAUGCGUAGCCGACCUGAGAGGGUGAUCGGCCACACUGGAACUGAGACACGGUCCCGACUCCUACGGGAGGCAGCAGUAGGGAAUCUUCCGCAAUGGGCGAAAGCCUGACGGCGCAACGCCGCGUGAGUGAUGAAGGUCUUCGGAUCGUAAAACUCUGUUAUUAGGGAAGAACAAAUUUGUAAGUAACUAUGCACGUCUUGACGGUACCUAAUCAGAAAGCCACGGCUAACUACGUG
rnacentral:rRNA from 1 species